rnacentral:lncRNA from 1 species
CUUUUUAGAGUGGAUAUAAUAAGAGAAAGUGCUGACUUUUAUUGAAUAAUAAAUGGCUAUUAUAUAGCCUUUACAUAAUAGCUUAAACAAUAUUAUAACUACCCACUAGUAAUAGUAACAAAACUGGUCAUGACUAAUCAAAUCCUAAAACUGUAAAACUGAAUUAAAUCCCAUAAUAAUAGGUAUUUAUUGUUGACUUAAUGGUAAAAACCCAACGUCUAUAAUCUUAACACUAAAAACAGGGUGGAAGUAUUACACAUAAUUAAUUAAUAUAUAAAUGCUUUCCGUAUUAAACAUCAUAUUUCACUUUACAUUUAUUUUAUUAUUUAAUUUAUAAAACUAAAAAGACGUGACAUUCCCUCUCCGGUGGUAGCCAGAAACUUGUCACCACCACGAUGACCGUCGCCGUCUGAAUCAUCAAGAAAACCACCGCGAGAGCCACCACAUGAUUCAGGGAAACUAUCUGCGAAAGAGAAAUACG